AUUCCGAGAUGAGUCGUAGAUUCCGAGAUGAGUCGUAGGCGCGGUAGAUUCUGAGUUUUGAGUGUUGAGAGACGAUAUCUCUCUCUAAUCCCAAAGACAAGCAGAACAACCACAGAAAGACACUGCAACAGAAAAGCAAAGCAAGCAGCCAAGGGUAAGACAAGGACAAAAGCAAUAAGGAAAGCCAAGGGAAAGCCAAAGCAAAAGCAACAGCAAACAGACCAUUAUAGGGAACACCAAGAACAAAGGCCAAAGGGAAAACAGCGUGGAGAGCCAAGAGAACAACAAAGGGAACAAUGAAACAGAGAGUAAGACCCAAAAGAAUGCUGCAUAGAACUGCAAAAUAGAGCAAGGCCAUAAAGAACACUGCAGGGAACAUCAAGAUGGAGAGCAAGGCCCAAAAGGGCACAUACAACAUCAAGAUGUAGGGCAAGGCCUAAAAGAACACUGCAUGGAACUGCAAAACAGAGGGCAAGGCCCAAAACAGCACUGCUGAAACAUCAAGAUGGAGGGCAAGGGCCAAAAAAAGAUCACGUAAAACAUCAAGAUGGAUGGCAAGGCCCAAGAGAACAUCACGCAGAACAUCAAGAUGAGGACAAGGCCCAAAAGAACACUGCAAGGAACAUCAAGAUGGAGGGCAAAGCUGAAGAGAAAACUGCAGCAAACACCAAGAUGGAUGGCUAGGCCCAAAAGGGCACUACAAGAAACAUCAAGAUGGGGGGCAAGGCAGCAGAGGAAACUGCUUGGAACUCCAACAUGGAAUGAAAGGCUGAAGGGAAUGAAGCACCAAAAUGAACAACAAGGCCCAUAGAAUGAACAGAACAUAAAGUGAGAACAAAGGAAACACUGCAGGAAAUGCUGGAGAAACAGCAGAGAACAGAGGAAAAGAGAAGCCCUGUGUCCUUCUAUAGGUCUCCAUUCCGUCACACCUGCUUCAUGAGCCCUGGUCCUUCGAUGAGGAUUCAUGAUCUACCUCUCGUUCAUGAGCCCUGUGGGGUCUUCUAUUGAGGAUCUCCAUCAUAACAUCCUGCUUCAAUGAGCCCUGGUCCUUUCGAUGAGGAUUCAUCAUCACCGUCAUGCCUUCAUGAGCCUGUGUCUUGCUAUAGGAUCU
rnacentral:lncRNA from 1 species